rnacentral:rRNA from 1 species
UACGUAGGGGUCGAGCGUUGUCCGGACUUACUGGGCGUAAAGCGUGGGUAGGUGGUCGGUGAUGUGCCGUGUGAAAGCCCCGCGUUCAUCGGGGGGAGGUCGCGGUAGACACAUUGACUUGAGGCAUGCAGAGGGCAGUGGAAUUCCUGGUGUAGCGGUGGAAUGCGCAGAUAUCAGGAGGAACACCGGUGGCGAAGGCGGGUCUCUGGGCAGUAACUGACGCUGAGGAGCGAAAGCGUGGGGAGCGAACAGG